rnacentral:rRNA from 1 species
GUGCCAGCCGCCGCGGUAAUACGUAGGGGGCAAGCGUUGUCCGGAAUGAUUGGGCGUAAAGGGCGCGUAGGCGGCCCGGUAAGUCUGGAGUGAAAGUCCUGCUUUUAAGGUGGGAAUUGCUUUGGAUACUGCUGGGCUUGAGUGCAGGAGAGGUAAGUGGAAUUCCCGGUGUAGCGGUGAAAUGCGUAGAGAUCGGGAGGAACACCAGUGGCGAAGGCGACUUACUGGACUGUAACUGACGCUGAGGCGC